AACGAACGCUGGCGGCAGGCUUAACACAUGCAAGUCGAACGCUCGUGGCAACACGGGAGUGGCGGACGGGUGAGUAACGCGUGGGAACGUGCCCUGAGGUUGGGAAUAACUGCGGGAAACUGCAGCUAAUACCUGAUGCGCCCCGAGAGGGGAAAGAUUUAUCGCCUUGGGAGCGGCCCGCGUCGGAUUAGCUAGUUGGUGGGGUAACGGCCUACCAAGGCUUCGAUCCGUAGCUGGUCUGAGAGGACGAUCAGCCACACUGGGACUGAGACACGGCCCAGACUCCUACGGGAGGCAGCAGUGGGGAAUCUUGCGCAAUGGGGGCAACCCUGACGCAGCCAUGCCGCGUGAAUGAUGAAGGCCUUAGGGUUGUAAAGUUCUUUUGCCCGUGACGAUGAUGACGGUAACGGGAGAAUAAGCUCCGGCUAACUUCGUG
rnacentral:rRNA from 1 species